CAUGCACGCAUCCCCACCCCAUUGAAAAUGCCCUCUAGAUCAUCCAGAUCAAAAGGAGCAGGUAUCAAGCACGCCCAAAUGCAGCUCAAAACACUUUGCUCAACGACACCCCCAUGGGAAACAGCUGUGAUAAAUCUUUAGG